CAGCAGCCACGGUAAUACGAAGGGGGCUAGCGUUGUUCGGAUUAACUGGGCGUAAAGGGCGCGUAGGCGGGUUUUUAAGUCAGAGGUGAAAUCCCAAGGCUCAACCUUGGAACUGCCUUUGAUACUGGAAGUCUUGAGUCCGGGAGAGGUGAGUGGAACUGCGAGUGUAGAGGUGAAAUUCGUAGAUAUUCGCAAGAACACCAGUGGCGAAGGCGGCUCACUGGCCCGGUACUGACGCUGAGGCGCGAAAGCGUGGGGAGCAAACAGGAUUAGAUACCCCAGUAGUCCCUGUCUCUUAUAC
rnacentral:rRNA from 1 species